GAUGAACGCUAGCGGCAGGCUUAACACAUGCAAGUCGAGGGGUAUAGUUCUUCGGAAUUAGAGACCGGCGCACGGGUGCGUAACGCGUAUGCAAUCUACCUUUCACAGAGGGAUAGCCCCAGAGAAAUUUGGAUUAAUACCUCAUAGUAUAGCAGUUUCGCAUGAAACCACUAUUAAAGUCACAACGGUGAAAGAUGAGCAUGCGUCCCAUUAGCUAGUUGGUAAGGUAACGGCUUACCAAGGCAACGAUGGGUAGGGGUCCUGAGAGGGAGAUCCCCCACACUGGUACUGAGACACGGACCAGACUCCUACGGGAGGCAGCAGUGAGGAAUAUUGGACAAUGGGCGCAAGCCUGAUCCAGCCAUGCCGCGUGCAGGAUGACGGUCCUAUGGAUUGUAAACUGCUUUUAUACAGGAAGAAACACUACUUCGUGAAGUAGCUUGACGGUACUGUAAGAAUAAGGAUCGGCUAACU
rnacentral:rRNA from 1 species